GCCGAUUUUAUUAAGAAUCACCCGGCCACCGAGAACAAAACAAGCACCUGUAAACUAUCUAUGCCUAAAGGAGGCAAAAGCAACAAUGUCUGAACGAAUUCUUGGUACGGUCAAGUGGUUCAAUAGCGGAAAAGGUUAUGGCUUCAUCGAGCGUGAAGCGGGCGAAGACGUUUUCGUCCACUACAGCGCUAUUCAGGAUGAUGGCUCCAACAACUACCGCAGUCUGGACGAGGGUCAGCAGGUGGAAUUUUCCGUCGAGCAAGGCCCGAAAGGUCUGCAGGCUGCCAACGUAAAGCCUGUAUAAAUCCUAUUGAUCCAUCAACCAAAGCCCUCGCCUAGCGAGGGCUUUUCU
rnacentral:other from 1 species